UCAGUUACAAUCUAGCAUCUGGGGCACACACAACGAGUAUCUGAUUACUCUUAUGAUUGCCCCGGGAAGGUCUGAGAUUUGGUCAAAGCUCCCUUGUUGCCGUAACAACGCUCAAAAGCUGAAAGGUGAUUGUGUGUCGUGGAGCUUCAUUUCCUAGCAGGAAACUUGUGUAAUCACAAGGCGAAAGUACCAGAAAUGCUGCAGCAUGGCUGUUGCCGCAUAACCUGCCGCCGGCCAUGUUGCAUUGAAAGCUUUCGUGGCCAGCAAUUUUAGUGCGAUGUGCUUGCUGCAAACCUCAACUCUGAGGUGCGUAGAACUCAAUUCAGACUAAUCUGUGACUGA
rnacentral:RNase_P_RNA from 15 species